rnacentral:rRNA from 1 species
UACCAGCUCUCCGAGUGGUGUGGAUGUUUAUUGGGCCUAAAGCAUCCGUAGCUGGCUGGACAAGUCCCCUGUUAAAUCCACCGAUUUAAUCGUUGGUGUGCGGGGGAUACUGUUCGGCUAGGGGACGGGAGAGGCCGACGGUAUUUUCGGGGUAGGGGUGAAAUCCUAUAAUCCCGGGAAGACCACCAGUGGCGAAGGCUGUCGGCUAGAACGCGCCCGACGGUGAGGGAUGAAAGCUGGGGGAGCGAACCGGAUUAGAUACCCGGGUAGUCCCAGCUGUAAACGAUGCAGACUAGGUGUUUGGGCGGCCACGUGCCGCUCUAGUGCCGCAGAGAAGUCGUUAAGCCUGCCGCCUGGGGAGUACGGCCGCAAGGCUGAAACUUAAAGAAAUUGGCGGGGGAGCACCACAAGGGGUGAAGCUUGCGGUUU